rnacentral:lncRNA from 13 species
UGGAGAUAAUGAGCCCGGACUUCCUGGGGCUGCUGGAGGUUUAAUUGGUUCACGGCGGCUAAGUGGUUGGCGAUCGUGGCCUGGAAUUCCGGCCAACGCUGCUCCCUCCACAAGGUGUUCGUUUGGAAACUUGCAGUAUGACAACGUGCGACAGGCCAUACAGACAGCAGGCAGUGAGCUGGUUUUGGCUCGAAGACAGUUUUUGCAGCCUCGGCUCUAGAUCAGUGGCUUGUGGACUCUUUUGACCAUGACUGUAAGCA